rnacentral:rRNA from 1 species
UACGGGGGGGGGCAAGCGUUGUUCGGAAUUACUGGGCGUAAAGGGCUCGUAGGUGGCCAACUAAGUCGGACGUGAAAUCCCUCGGCUUAACCGGGGAACUGCGUCUGAUACUGGAUGGCUUGAGUUCGGGAGAGGGAUGCGGAAUUCCAGGUGUAGCGGUGAAAUGCGUAGAUAUGUGGAGGAACACCGAUGGCGAAGGCAGCCCCCUGGGUCAAAACUGACGCUCAUGCACGAAAGCGUGGGGAGCAAACAGG